rnacentral:rRNA from 1 species
GACGAACGCUGGCGGCGUGCUUAACACAUGCAAGUCGAACGGUAAGGCCCUGCUCUUGUGGGGUGCUCGAGUGGCGAACGGGUGAGUAACACGUGAGUAACCUGCCCUUGACUUUGGGAUAACUUCAGGAAACUGGGGCUAAUACCGGAUAGGAGCUCCUGCUGCAUGGUGUGGGUUGGAAAGUUUCGGCGGUUGGGGAUGGACUCGCGGCUUAUCAGCUUGUUGGUGGGGUAGUGGCUUACCAAGGCUUUGACGGGUAGCCGGCCUGAGAGGGUGACCGGCCACAUUGGGACUGAGAUACGGCCCAGACUCCUACGGGAGGCAGCAGUGGGGAAUAUUGCACAAUGGGCGGAAGCCUGAUGCAGCAACGCCGCGUGCGGGAUGACGGCCUUCGGGUUGUAAACCGCUUUCGCCUGGGAAGAAGCGAAAGUGACGGUAACGGGUAAAGAAGCACCGGCUAACUACGUG